GGCGGGGCUGCCCAGGCCUUUGCACCAUGGGUCCUGCUCCACCGUGUGAGUUCUCUGGGGCUUGGGCCUGGGCGCUGCUAGGACACCCGCUGUGCUCGGCGCUGGACAGACACAAUGAAGGCGCUCGCCGUCUAGGACGGGGGCAGUGGGAGUCACCCAUCGCUGCAUGCAAGAAGAGGCUGGAGAGAGAUGGAAGGCUGGAGAGACGCUGCCUAGCCUGAAAUGCUGACAAAACUCACAGAAUAGGUGAGAUCAGACUAUUGGAGGGUACAUCUCUGGACUUCUGUUAUUUCGCAAAGGUCUGUAAUGCUUUAGAGCAUUUAAAGAGUAAAGUGGUUGAGGUUAAGAAAUUCCUUUGCUAAGCCUAUAUUCCUUGCUUUCCUGCCCCGUUGUCCCUGAAGGGGGUUAAAUGAGAAGCCAGAGGGUUCACAUCUAGGUAGAACUCUGGGGGAGCACGAGUAAGCAACUCAGGGGGUUGGGAGGUCUGAGACACUGGUUUUGGGGCGUAGGGCGACUGGAUGCCAUCAUGUCCCAAAGAAGGGCAUCACACUAGAGAUUUGAGCCUGUGAGUAUGUCCUGGAAUUUCAGAGCUAGAAACAGUAACUAGGCUCCAUCCAGACUCAGUUGGCUUAGGAGCACAUGGGACUCAGCGACGGGAUCCACUCGCAAUAGACUCGCAAUGUCUAUACAGAGGGGCACCUGGUCAGGGUGUAACACAUAAAGUAGAAAUUUCUAUGCAUGAGCAUGAGAGGAAGGAUGAUCCUGUGCUUAAAGCAGUGGAUCACAAAUCAGGAGACCUGGGUUCUUUUCCUUUCUCUGCCUCAGACGUAUGUGACCUGAGGCACAUCCCUGAGCCUCUGGGUGCCUCAGUUUCCUUCUCUGUAGAACAGAGACACUAUUAGAUGCUUGUGUUACAGAGAUGUUAUGAAGCUACACCCAUUAAUACUUGGGAGGUGCUCAGAUGUGAUGUUGCUGUGUGCAAUAGCAAAGUUUUUAAAUAAAUAACAGAGGACAUUUCAAGUUCUCCUACCCUCUUGGGUAAUAAACUGAAAGUCAGGAGGAUAUUACACUUUAAAGAAUUGACAAUGGAUCCAGCACUUAUUUUCUCUGCUAGUCAGAUAAACUGUUAAUGUAGGAAUUAAAGUCCUUGAGUAUUCAGCAAUUAACUGUGCAACAAAAAUAUGUCAGCUUGACAUGCUGAAAGCAAGCUAACAAGACUAAGAUGGAAUGCAUAACAACAUCCAGUUAAUGUGAUAUUAUGUGGCAUGAAAACAAAUGGCUGACAGUAAAAAGACUGGAGUAACAUGACAUCCUCUCUGGGAAAGCACUUCUGUGUGUGUUGGGAGGCACCCUUGAUUUCGGUUGACAUGUUCCUUGUUUCAAUUCAGUUAUACCAAAUUCUUUUUUAAUGCUACAAAUGUUCUGAUCUGUACUCUUAGUACUUCAGAAAUACAAAUCCAUUAGUCACAUAAUCGUUUGCCUGCAAAUAUCAGAGUGAGAGAGAGCAAAAUAUUCAGGAUGAUAAAAUGCUACUAUUGUUGGAUUUCUCCUCUUUGAUCCCCUUUGCUGCCUCAGUCAAAAUAACAUAACUGAAAAGGGAUCAGUUUGCCAGCCUCCCGAUUUAACUGCCAGGCACAAAAGCAACAUUAAAGACAGUUUUUAAAUUAAACUGGGAAUUAAAUAUUUGUACAAAGAUACCAUCAAACAGAGUUUUUACUGGGUCUUUUAAAUAUCCUGUCUGGUGGCAAAAAAAAUUGUUCCAAUGACACUUUUUCUGCUUUGCAGCAACAAGGGCCAUAUAAAUAUAGAUUAGACUAGAAUUCAGCAUUCCUCACCUUCCUCUUUUAUAGCCUCUUCUUUAGACAGCUUUAUACAGGCAUCAGCGAAAAACACUUAGUUGAAAACUUUCCUGUAUGAAAAGGUGGUGAGAGCAUAACACAUCUAGGAUGGCAGCUGUCACUGAUAACCUGAGAGAGAGGAAGUGUUCUCUAUUGUCUAGAGCGAAAGUGCGGGAGUCAGGAACUUGGAUUCUGUUUCCAGCUCUGACCCUGAUUCACUGUGUGAGUUUGGACAAGUCACUUAAUGGCUCUCUGCCUCAGUUUCUGUCCUCAGCUGUAAAACAGGGGUGAUAAUAUUUAUUUUGCUGGUGAGCUGUGAGGCUUAGUCCUUGAGCCUGCAGCUGACUGCACAGACAGACUGCAGCACCCAGGCAGAGUAAAUUGUUGUAUUAAGUGCUAUGUAAGAGCUAGCAGCACAGCACUGUGAGAUCCUUGGAGAUGUGUUAUGCAAAUACAAAGUUCUCCUUCGAUGUUGCCUAGAGAAAACAAGCCUGAUGAACUGUAGCACCAGCCCAGAUAAUUCUGGGACUAUUUUAAAAGAGAAGUCACUCAUGGCUACAGAGGAAAAGCUGCCAGCGCCCAAUAAAUCAGUGUUAUUCAGAAUCAAACUUGGGUUUUUUUGUUAGCUAGAGACACGAUGAAUUGUCAUGUUGUGAUCUAACUGACUUUUGCCUUUUGUUUCACCCCAUUUUGCUUUCAGUAAAUGACUGGAUCUUCAUUCUUUGCCAAGAGAGUGUGGCUAGAUUCCUGGCACGGUCUAAGAAGGCAAGGGACUCACCUGCAGUAUUGGCAGAGGCAAUGCUUCACCUGCACAUGACAGUUGAGGUGAAUCAUCAUUUGGAAAAAGCAAUAGGGAGAGGGUCGGCAGGCUAAAUAUAUCUGCAGAGCAUUGUAAAUAUUGGCUUGGCACUAUAUUUUAUACAUGAGUGACUGUCAGUUACAAUAUCUUGCUAAAUAAAUAUUGAAAACAAA